UACGGAGGAUGCAAGCGUUAUCCGGAUUUAUUGGGUUUAAAGGGUGCGUAGGUGGAUUGGUAAGUCAGUGGUGAAAGUUUGCAGCUUAACUGUAAAAUUGCCGUUGAAACUGCCGGUCUUGAGUGCAAAUGAGGUAGGCGGAAUGCGUCGUGUAGCGGUGAAAUGCUUAGAUAUGACGCAGAACUCCGAUUGCGAAGGCAGCUUACUGGGAUGCAACUGACGCUGAGGCACGAAAGCGUGGGUAUCAAACAGGAUUAGA
rnacentral:rRNA from 1 species